rnacentral:rRNA from 1 species
AGUGAACGCUGGCGGUAGGCCUAACACAUGCAAGUCGAACGGCAGCACAGUAAGAGCUUGCUCUUACGGGUGGCGAGUGGCGGACGGGUGAGGAAUACAUCGGAAUCUACUUUUUCGUGGGGGAUAACGUAGGGAAACUUACGCUAAUACAGCAUACGACCUACGGGUGAAAGCAGGGGAUCUUCGGACCUUGCGCGAUUGAAUGAGCCGAUGUCGGUGUAGAUAGUUGGCGGGGUAAAGGCCCACCAAGGCGACGAUCCGUAGCUGGUCUGAGAGGAUGAUCGGCCACACGGGAGCUGAGACACGGUCCAGACUCCUACGGGAGGCAGCAGUGGGGAAUAUUGGACAAUGGGCGCAAGCCUGAUCCAGCCAUACCGCGUGGGUGAAGAAGGCCUUCGGGGUGUAAAGCCCUUUUGUUGGGAAAGAAAAGCAGCAGGUUAAUACCCCGCUGUUCUGACGGUACCCAAAGAAUAAGCACCGGCUAACUUCGUG